AAUCCAAUACAUUCCUCUCUCCCGUAUUCUUCCAUUUAUUUUCAGUUUCCCUGCUCAAAUAACUCUUCUCUCAGUAUUCUUCCUCCACUUCACUAAACUAGAAUUGGAAUAACCGAUUUAAAGCGCCUUGAUCCUGACCCAAAUGGCUGAGGCUUUAGUGAAAUUAGGAAUAUAAAUGAUUAGCCCCUCCACUGAAUCUAAUAAAUAAUGCUUCCAUUCCAAUGCGUCUUCCUCAAUCUGCCUUUAACUGUGUCACCAUUAAAUUCCGACGGUAUCAUAUUUUUGUACUCUACUAAAAUCAAGUAUAGGAUUUUUAAACCUUCCAUUGCUGGAACAUGAAUUUGUGAAGAUUUAAGGGAUAAUUGCAGGUAUUAUUAGCAUCUUAGGGAUUUCGUUGCAAGUUUUCGCUAUGAAGGUCAGGCCUUAUCUUCUAUGGUCCAAUUGUUAUAUUAGUCGCUCUAGUUAAUUUACGCGCAUAUGAUGCAAUGCUCUGCAAAUAUUUUUGGUCUUUUACGUCAUUUAUCCUCCUUCUGCCUUUUCCACUUUACCUCUUCCCUGUUUAUAUGAUGAUAUUGUUCGAAAAUUUCUAUUUCUCUCUCUGCCAAAAGGUUGAAAUAAAACUGUAUAUCUACUGUGAUGAAUGGGAAAGAAGAGUCAACAAUGUCGUUAAGAAUGUGAAAGGUUCGUGCAAUGUUUAUCAGAAAAAUUAGUAUAAGAGGCCAUGGAUAACUUCUUGACAAUGGAAUCUGGGGACAACCAAUUAGGGACGAUUAUAAUAAAGUUUACAAGCCAUAACCACAACAAGAGGAGAAUGGAAUCUGACACAUAAAUCAAUUAGUUUGCUAACUUUUUUGGUGUCUUUUCGUUGUUGUCAUUUCACGGCAAUGUGACAACUGCUACAAGUGCACUUGUGUCAGCAAAAUAUAUGGACCAUAUGAUGCUAAGCAGAUUAACGUAGAGUCAGCUCUUUCUGGUAUGUAUAAAGAGAUAAAUUACUUACUAUUUUAUACUGCAAGCAAUAUUUUGUAUCUUAUUGUGCUCUUAAGGAGCUACUCUCCUCGGCUAUAUUCUCCAUUGGAUCUUUUUACCCUCCUCUGUUUGGUGACUUAGCAAGUCAAUUAUUUCUUUUGAUACUAGAUCAUAGCUUAGAAUUACUUUUUUCCACCAUAAUUUAUUCUCAUGAAUGCAUAUGUUUUUAAUGUGAUACUGUUUUAGCUAUGUUCGUGAAGUCAUACGUUUGAUAGUGUAUUAUAGCAAGGUCCAAAUAAAGAAGACUUUUGAACAAUGACGCAACCCACUCUUGCACGAAAAUACUAGAUGCAAAGGAAAAGGGAAGUUGCAAUAUUAAAGGUGAGUGGAAUCUCUUUGGUUUAUCAGAUCAUCUGUCGAGUGGAUACAAAAUAAUGUGAAGAACUUUUGUACAUCAAGUCUCUUGAGUCUUAUCAUUUUGAAAGAUGACAGUAAAUUGAAAUUUUGCGGAAUCUUAUGUCCUUUUAAUUAAAAAUAUUAUUCUUUUGUU